rnacentral:rRNA from 1 species
CCCUUAGAUGUUCUGGGCUGCACGCGUGCUACACUGAUAUUGCCAAUAUGUCAUUCUUAUCCGAAAUGGAUUGGGUAAUCAAGUAAUGAAAUUUCAUGCUUGGAAUCGGUAAUUGCAAUUUUAUCGUGAACGAGGAAUUCCUAGUAAGCACUAGUCAUCAGCUAAUGUUGAUUAUGUCCCUGCCCUUUGUACACACCGCCCGUCGCUACUACCGAUUGAAUGGCUUAGUGAGCUGUGGGGACCGAGGUCUCUGUUGGGUUUCCUUCAGAGUAUCUUGCGGAACCACAUCAAACUUGAUCAUUUAGAGGGAGUAAAAGUCGUAACA